rnacentral:rRNA from 1 species
CCUACGAGGGACAGCAGUGGGGGAUAUUGCACAAUGGGCGCAAGCCUGAUGCAGCGACGCCGCGUGAAGGAAGAAGGCUUUCGGGUUGUAAACUUCUUUUCUCAGGGACGAAGCAAGUGACGGUACCUGAGGAAUAAGCCACGGCUAACUACGUGCCAGCAGCCGCGGUAAUACGUAGGUGGCAAGCGUUAUCCGGAUUUACUGGGUGUAAAGGGCGUGUAGGCGGGAAAGCAAGUCAGAUGUGAAAACCAUGGGCUCAACCUGUGGCCUGCAUUUGAAACUGUUUUUCUUGAGUACUGGAGAGGCAGACGGAAUUCCUAGUGUAGCGGUGAAAUGCGUAGAUAUUAGGAGGAACACCAGUGGCGAAGGCGGUCUGCUGGACAGCAACUGACGCUGAGGCGCGAAAGCGUGGGGAGCAAACAGGAUUAGAUACCCUAGUAGUC